rnacentral:rRNA from 1 species
CCCUCUUCCAGAAAAUAAAAAUUUGUAAUUGAUGCUAGCGUGCAUGCAUCCGGUAGCUUCUAGCCGGUACAAGACCAAUUCCAUUUGGUUACAUUAAAUAAAAGCACCGACCGGCCAGCGCAACUCCUUCUCAUCCAUCUGCUCAUCUGCUUGCCUUAUCCUCAUCGCCACUCCUCCUUCUCACUCAACGCUACUCCUCCUCUUCUCCAACCACUACCACCCAGUGUUGCUCCUCCUCCUCUUCUACAUGUGUUGUGCCGACGAUGCACUCCACUCUCCCGGAGUGCGCGCGGCCGUGGUGGCUGGCCAGAGCCAGGGCAGCACCCCUUAUCGGCGAGGAACCCAUAGGCGCCAUGGAAGCUCCUCUGCCGUGGGUCUGAUCUGGCCAUCCCGCCCCAGUCAUCGGCCCGCUCCAGAUCCGGCCAGCAGCCUCGCCUCCAAUCCGUUUCGGACGGCCCCGCCCACAGCCUCCGCCACCUGCGACAUGCCCCCAGAGGCCCGGCCGAUCCCGCGGCGCUCAUCCUUGCUUCAUCCUUUGCUCGCGACUCACGUUGUCCGUCUCGCCCCGGCAUGCUCCAGGCCACCAACCGGAGCAUGUCCACGAAGUCCAGCCGGCCCUCUUCCCGGGCGCGCUCCUCGGCCGUUGCCGCGUGCUCCACCAACAGUUUCAUGUUGAGUCCGUCGAACAGGCGGUGCACCCGGCGCAGCUUGGCCUGCACUCCCUGCAGGUCUAGCCACGACAGCGCCGCUGAUGUUGAACUUCCCCGUUUCGGUUAGGAGCGACACGGUCAUCUCCUUGUAGGUUUGGUUCCCUUUACUUGAGGGUGGGCCCGGCGGCGGUGGCGCGCGUCGGAAGGCGAGGCCGGCGGCGGCGCACGCCGGAUGGGAGGCAAGGUCAUGGGUCUUGGGUGUUUUUUUCUUUUCUGUUGCCCGUACCAGUUCAGGUUGACUGGUUAAUAGGAUUGCGGGUUGAUUAUCAGUAAAGUCAGGGUGUUUUCUGUAAAAGUGGGCGACGGACGACACAAACCCAAUUCCAAACCAAACCAAGAAUAUCUAUUCCCUUUAAUAGUAGGUAUAGAUAUGAAUUUGUACAACUAAGCUUGUUUAGCUCGAUGGGUGGAGCAGUGCUAUUAUGAC